rnacentral:rRNA from 1 species
GAUGAACGCUGGCGGCGUGCCUAAUACAUGCAAGUCGAGCGAAUAGACGAGGAGCCUGCUCCUCUGACGUUAUCGGCGGCCGGGUGAGUAACACGUGGAUAACCUACCUAUAAGACUGGGAUAACUUCGGGAAACCGGAGCUAAUACCGGAUAAUAUAUUGAACCGCAUGGUUCUAUAGUGACAGACGGUUUUGCUGUCACUUAUAGACGGAUACGCGCCGCAUUAGCUAGUUGGUAAGGUAACGGCUUACCAAGGCAACGAAGCUUAGCCGACCUGGGAGGAUGAUCGGCCACACUGUAUCUGAGACAGAGGCCAUGCUCCUACGGGGAGCGGCAGUAAGAAUGCGUCAGAAAGGCGCGAAAGCUUGACGGAGCAACGCCGCGUGAGUGAUGAAAAUCUUCGGAUCGUAAAAGUCUGUUAUUAGGGAAGGACAAAUGUGUAGGUAACGAUGAACGUCUGGACGGUACCUAUGCAGAAAGCCACGGCUAACUACGUG